rnacentral:rRNA from 2 species
GGUUAAGCGACUAAGCGUACACGGUGGAUGCCCUGGCAGUCAGAGGCGAUGAAGGACGUGCUAAUCUGCGAAAAGCGCCGGCGAGGUGAUAUGAACCCUUGACCCGGCGAUGUCCGAAUGGGGAAACCCAGUGCAAUCCGUUGCACUAUCGUUAACUGAAUACAUAGGUUAACGAGGCGAACCGGGGGAACUGAAACAUCUAAGUACCCCGAGGAAAAGAAAUCAACCGAGAUUCCCCCAGUAGCGGCGAGCGAACGGGGAGCAGCCCGGAGUCUGAAUCAGCUUGUGUGUUAGUGGAACGGUCUGGAAAGUCCGACGGUACAGGGUGAUAGUCCCGUACACGAAAGCACACAUGCUGUGAACUCGAAGAGUAGGGCGGGACACGUGGUAUCCUGUCUGAAUAUGGGGGGACCAUCCUCCAAGGCUAAAUACUCCUGACUGACCGAUAGUGAACCAGUACCGUGAGGGAAAGGCGAAAAGAACCCCGGCGAGGGGAGUGAAAAAGAACCUGAAACCGUGUACGUACAAGCAGUGGGAGCCUCUUUAUGGGGUGACUGCGUACCUUUUGUAUAAUGGGUCAGCGACUUAUAUUCUGUAGCAAGGUUAACCGUAUAGGGGAGCCGAAGGGAAACCGAGUCUUAACUGGGCGUUAAGUUGCAGGGUAUAGACCCGAAACCCGGUGAUCUAGCCAUGGGCAGGUUGAAGGUUGGGUAACACUAACUGGAGGACCGAACCGACUAAUGUUGAAAAAUUAGCGGAUGACCUGUGGCUGGGGGUGAAAGGCCAAUCAAACCGGGAGAUAGCUGGUUCUCCCCGAAAGCUAUUUAGGUAGCGCCUCGUGAACUCAUCUUCGGGGGUAGAGCACUGUUUCGGCUAGGGGGCCAUCCCGGCUUACCAACCCGAUGCAAACUACGAAUACCGAAGAAUGUUAUCACGGGAGACACACGGCGGGUGCUAACGUCCGUCGUGAAGAGGGAAACAACCCAGACCGCCAGCUAAGGUCCCAAAGUCAUGGUUAAGUGGGAAACGAUGUGGGAAGGCACAGACAGCCAGGAUGUUGGCUUAGAAGCAGCCAUCAUUUAAAGAAAGCGUAAUAGCUCACUGGUCGAGUCGGCCUGCGCGGAAGAUGUAACGGGGCUAAACCAUGCACCGAAGCUGCGGCAGCGACACUAUGUGUUGUUGGGUAGGGGAGCGUUCUGUAAGCCGUUGAAGGUGUGCUGUGAGGCAUGCUGGAGGUAUCAGAAGUGCGAAUGCUGACAUAAGUAACGAUAAAGCGGGUGAAAAGCCCGCUCGCCGGAAGACCAAGGGUUCCUGUCCAACGUUAAUCGGGGCAGGGUGAGUCGACCCCUAAGGCGAGGCCGAAAGGCGUAGUCGAUGGGAAACAGGUUAAUAUUCCUGUACUUGGUGUUACUGCGAAGGGGGGACGGAGAAGGCUAUGUCAGCCGGGCGACGGUUGUCCCGGUUUAAGCAUGUAGGCGGAGGUUCCAGGUAAAUCCGGUACCUUGUUAACGCUGAGGUGUGAUGACGAGGCACUACGGUGCUGAAGUGAUAAAUGCCCUGCUUCCAGGAAAAGCCUCUAAGCAUCAGGUAACACGAAAUCGUACCCCAAACCGACACAGGUGGUCAGGUAGAGAAUACCAAGGCGCUUGAGAGAACUCGGGUGAAGGAACUAGGCAAAAUGGUGCCGUAACUUCGGGAGAAGGCACGCUGAUGUGUAGGUGAAGCCCCUGCGGGCGGAGCUGAAAUCAGUCGAAGAUACCAGCUGGCUGCAACUGUUUAUUAAAAACACAGCACUGUGCAAACACGAAAGUGGACGUAUACGGUGUGACGCCUGCCCGGUGCCGGAAGGUUAAUUGAUGGGGUUAGCGGCAACGCGAAGCUCUUGAUCGAAGCCCCGGUAAACGGCGGCCGUAACUAUAACGGUCCUAAGGUAGCGAAAUUCCUUGUCGGGUAAGUUCCGACCUGCACGAAUGGCGUAAUGAUGGCCAGGCUGUCUCCACCCGAGACUCAGUGAAAUUGAACUCGCUGUGAAGAUGCAGUGUACCCGCGGCAAGACGGAAAGACCCCGUGAACCUUUACUAUAGCUUGACACUGAACACUGGUCCUUGAUGUGUAGGAUAGGUGGGAGGCUUUGAAGCGUGGACGCCAGUCUGCGUGGAGCCAACCUUGAAAUACCACCCUUUAAUGGCUGGUGUUCUAACGUAGACCCGUAAUCCGGGUUGCGGACAGUGUCUGGUGGGUAGUUUGACUGGGGCGGUCUCCUCCCAAAGAGUAACGGAGGAGCACGAAGGUUGGCUAAUCCUGGUCGGACAUCAGGAGGUUAGUGCAAUGGCAUAAGCCAGCUUGACUGCGAGCGUGACGGCGCGAGCAGGUGCGAAAGCAGGUCAUAGUGAUCCGGUGGUUCUGAAUGGAAGGGCCAUCGCUCAACGGAUAAAAGGUACUCCGGGGAUAACAGGCUGAUACCGCCCAAGAGUUCAUAUCGACGGCGGUGUUUGGCACCUCGAUGUCGGCUCAUCACAUCCUGGGGCUGAAGUAGGUCCCAAGGGUAUGGCUGUUCGCCAUUUAAAGUGGUACGCGAGCUGGGUUUAGAACGUCGUGAGACAGUUCGGUCCCUAUCUGCCGUGGGCGCUGGAGAAUUGAGGGGGGCUGCUCCUAGUACGAGAGGACCGGAGUGGACGCAUCACUGGUGUUCGGGUUGUCAUGCCAAUGGCACUGCCCGGUAGCUAAAUGCGGAAGAGAUAAGUGCUGAAAGCAUCUAAGCACGAAACUUGCCCCGAGAUGAGUUCUCCCUGAGACUUUAAGUCUCCUGAAGGAACGUUGAAGACGACGACGUUGAUAGGUCGGGUGUGUAAGCGCAGCGAUGCGUUGAGCUAACCGAUACUAAUGAACCGUGAGGCUUAACCUU